GAAGGGAGCUUGCUCCCGGAUGUUAGCGGCGGACGGGUGAGUAACACGUGGGUAACCUGCCUGUAAGACUGGGAUAACUCCGGGAAACCGGAGCUAAUACCGGAUAGUUCCUUGAACCGCAUGGUUCAAGGAUGAAAGACGGUUUCGGCUGUCACUUACAGAUGGACCCGCGGCGCAUUAGCUAGUUGGUGGGGUAAUGGCUCACCAAGGCGACGAUGCGUAGCCGACCUGAGAGGGUGAUCGGCCACACUGGGACUGAGACACGGCCCAGACUCCUACGGGAGGCAGCAGUAGGGAAUCUUCCGCAAUGGACGAAAGUCUGACGGAGCAACGCCGCGUGAGUGAUGAAGGUUUUCGGAUCGUAAAGCUCUGUUGUUAGGGAAGAACAAGUGCGAGAGUAACUGCUCGCACCUUGACGGUACCUAACCAGAAAGCCACGGCUAACUACGUGCCAGCAGCCGCGGUAAUACGUAGGUGGCAAGCGUUGUCCGGAAUUAUUGGGCGUAAAGGGCUCGCAGGCGGUUUCUUAAGUCUGAUGUGAAAGCCCCCGGCUCAACCGGGGAGGGUCAUUGGAAACUGGGAAACUUGAGUGCAGAAGAGGAGAGUGGAAUUCCACGUGUAGCGGUGAAAUGCGUAGAGAUGUGGAGGAACACCAGUGGCGAAGGCGACUCUCUGGUCUGUAACUGACGCUGAGGAGCGAAAGCGUGGGGAGCGAACAGGAUUAGAUACCCUGGUAGUCCACGCCGUAAACGAUGAGUGCUAAGUGUUAGGGGGUUUCCGCCCCUUAGUGCUGCAGCUAACGCAUUAAGCACUCCGCCUGGGGAGUACGGUCGCAAGACUGAAACUCAAAGGAAUUGACGGGGGCCCGCACAAGCGGUGGAGCAUGUGGUUUAAUUCGAAGCAACGCGAAGAACCUUACCAGGUCUUGACAUCCUCUGACAACCCUAGAGAUAGGGCUUUCCCUUCGGGGAACAGAGUGACAGGUGGUGCAUGGUUGUCGUCAGCUCGUGUCGGGAGAUGUUGGGUUAAGUCC
rnacentral:rRNA from 1 species